UGUAUAUUCAGUUCAGUUUCGAAUACCGUCAGGUGCACACACGCAUUCCGAUGUCAGUAUGCUCGUUACUCCUUUAUAUUAUAUUCGAUUAUACGGCUCAGCCUGUAUUUCAUAAUCGUAUACUGCGCAGGCGAAAAAAGAAAACCAAGUUCUUCUCCAAUCCGAAUCGGUUUUCUAUGAUUGCCAAGCACAACGUUAACUCAUCUUCCAACACUAUUCAAAGUCGAGAUUCAAAUGCUACAGUUGGAGUACGAUACAGGCAAACAACCGCCAAUGUAUAUAAAAAAUAUAGAAAACGUUAUGCAAGUAUGCAAAAUGUUCCAGCAAACAGAAUAAGCGAAAAUAAGGACCUGGUAGAUUUUGUAUGACUAACAGAGGAACGACCACCGAUACAUUUAAAACAUAAAAUGAGUUACACUUACACCCAUCAGAAUAUCGGAUUGCCCAGAGAAACGGACGUCGAUGUCGGAUUCUUCCACGGAGCAUAUGAUGUCGGAGUUCUUGGUCUACAUGGAAAUCGAUUCCUGUGCGUCAGUCGAACCUCCAACAACAAUUAAUAUCAGGGUCGAUAAUGGUAACUGGAAGUACAGCCGCAGAAUCUAUGGUACCAGAGCCCAAGGUCGAGGACGAUAAGGAGGAGAUGUCCGUUAUUUUCGUGGGCGCCGACGCAACGGUGACACGUCUUAUUCAGUGUCAGAGAAGAACCCAAAGAGAAGUCGAGCUUGAUGGUCGUUUGGGUUAGGGUUUGAAGCGGGACGACGUUUAUAUCGAAACCGUUCGAUCGACUGGCGCUAUACGGACGCUACAAUCGAACAGCGCCACCGAUACCGGAUGUCGGGUAUCGACGUGGUUCGCUGAUAUCUGUGGAUAUCCGCGACACCAUGCAGCGCAGUUGACGCUGCGACCGAUUGCAAGAUGCGUGUUCGCAGCCGGUCGCAGCGUUUCCGGAUGCAUCGGCGUGCGGCAUCACGUCGGACGAGCACGAGCUGCCGACCACCACCGUUCCGACCGCUGCACUUUAUGGCAAGUGCACCUUGCACUCGCCCGAGUCAUCUCCGUCGUCGCCCUCCACCCCCGCUGUCAUCCGAGUGCACGACAUCGCACGGGUCGAUCUGGUAGUCCACCGCUCAGUCACCAUGGUCACGGUUGUCGGGCGCCCAUAAACCUUACAUUAUGAUGUCCAACAAUACAGCAGUCGACCGCCGGGACCGGCUGCGGUAACGCGUGAAUCAACGCGUGCAGUGGUCGCAUUCGUUCAACUCUCACGAACGCCGUCGGUUCUCUCCCCCCCCCCCCUUUGUUUAUCCAUCUAUCCUGUAACAAUAGCUUUUAAGUACAUCUUAUUAUCAAUGAACAAAUUUUAUGGAAUCUUGGAUAAAAUUUUUAAGAAUUUUUACCCAGCGAAUAAUUUUUAUUAAAAUUUAAAAAAAAAAAAAUUAAAAAUGUCUAUACUAGCUUAAAAAGAGUUGAAAUAUUUUGAAAACUAUACAACGAUGACAUAAAAAUUUUGUGAAAAUUUUAAGUACCUAUAGUUUUUUUGAUUUUAAAUUAUACCAUAAAACAUUAACAGUAAUAGU